CUCGUUCGUCGGUAUGACCAAGGAGCAGUGUGUGGGUUGUGCGGGCACCGCGUCACGGGUGGCUGCUGCUUGGUCGAACAGGUGAAAACCUAGCACACGACGCACAUGACUUUCCUCCUCCUCACUUUUACACCCUCGUCCUGCCCGCCGCCGCCGCCAUCUCCUCCUCUUCCCCUCUCGUAGCGCCUCCGCCUCGCCUUCCCCACACAACCAGCGAGGGGCAUGGUUCCAGAUCGGGCAUUGCCAUGGAGAGCAGGAGCGGCCGGACGGUUGGGCUGAAGGAGUAGGGGAGGCCUGCGGUGGGGGGAAGGAGCAGCAAGCCUGAGAUGAGGAGAAGCCGGCGAUGGCGAUAAGAAGCACCGGUGGCAGCGCUCCGUCCGGGCGGCCCUCUCCAUCUUCCCUGCAGCUCCAUGAACGAUGACGGGCAGGAGGAGUAGGCCGACCCUGGUUUGUCAUUGAGGCCCUUUUGACGCCGCGGGCCAUGGGAUUCCGCCCUUCUCAACCCGAGGGCGCCUCCCCUUCCCCACCCAUGGCUUCCAGUGAAGCUCGGCUACAGCUUACUUCAGGGGGCCCCUCCAUGGUGCUCGUCGAUCUGGACAAGGGGAGCAGCAGCGACAGCCCCUUUCUUCGCACGCAACAGCAGGUAAACCGGACCAAAUCCACCUUCUCCGAUCUUGUUGGAUUCACUAAAAUUACCAGUGGCAGCUUUACUGCGGUCCAGUGAGAUUACUUUGAGUCCAUUGCUUUUUCCAUCCUCUGUUUCAUCAUUGAAAGGAAUCGAAUGUGAGAUAUUGAGCAUGCCAGCACUUUGCUGAGAUCUGGUAGAUGAACGUCUUGUGCUCCCCUGCAAAAAAAAAAGGAAAAUUUUCUUGACAGCCAACUUCUAUGCACUGCAUCUGCCAUGGAAUAGUAAUUAUAGCACUAUCCUUGCCUCCAAGAGUCCAUUUAUAUUAGAAACUGAGACUAAUUACUAUAGCUAUCAAUUCACAGCUAGAUCCAUUUUAGCUGAGUUCACAACAGCUUCACAACAAAUUUUUUUGGUUUCUCCAAGGAACAAGUCCGUUUCAUCCCGCAACGCCUUACCAUCAACUGAGGACGCUUGAUUAUCAUUCGGCGGAUCAGCAUCUAAUCUAUCUUCUGUAGGAUUAGCAUUUUCUUCAAAACAAUUAGAGUGAGUAGUAGCUGCUAUAUUCCUGAAACAUUGUUCCGCAAGAAACAGAGGUUAACAUCUUUCCAUGUCGAUGACAAAUUUCACAGGAUGGCUGAUAACUAACAGAAUUUCAAAAAUAUGAACUAAGCAUACUGAUUAGAAGUUGAUCCAUGGUAUAUGUGUUCAGCAAGUUGAUCAUUCCGAUCUUGAGCAUGUUGAGGGAAAGUGUUCCUAUCUGCUUCCUGAAAACACGAAUAAUCAUACGCAAUGCUACAACGUUAAACAAGCUAAUUACAGGACCAUGAUCAUACCAUAUUGUAAGAUGAGGAAGGGUUGUUUUUUGACAGAGUUGCUUGUUGAUGAUUGGGAUUAUAUAUGUUUCCAGGUUGAGGUAUAUUGCCUAAACUGUCCUGCAUCAGUAUAAUCAAUCAAAUAAUUCAGUAGAUUCUGAUGUUACUAAUAAGUAAUAAUAGCAUUCAAUAUACAGAUGGUAAAAUAGCUGUUGUAACUUGUAACAGACAAUUAAAGACGCAAGUACAUGCAGUCAUGCAGAGUCAUACAUAAGAUAUUCAGCAGAUCAAAGCGAAGUACUCCCUCCGUCCGAAAAUACUUGUCAUCAAAAUGGACAAAAAGGGAUGUAUCUAGAACUAAAAUACAUCUAGAUACAACCUCUUUUAUUCAUUUUGAUGACAAGUAUUUCUGGACGGAGGGAGUACUUUGAUAAGUAUUUUUUCAGAUGACUGACGUCUAGGAGAAACUAGGCAUGAGUUAUAAUAAGAUAGAGCUGAGGAGCUAACCCAGGCUGCCUAGCCCACCAUUCAUGGUGCUAGACAGUAAGCCCCUUUGGUUUUAACUAUUAGGAUCCCAUGGUUAUGGGAGUGAAGAAGAUAUCACUUUACGGAUUUGAUUUAGUUGUUUGUUAUUAUGUACCCGUGUUGGAUGUUCUAGAAUCAAACAAAUUUAUGGUUUCCUUCCCUUUUUUAUACAUAGUAUUUAUCUGGAAUUUUGGUUUUUGCGCAUUGAAUAUGCAAGUUUACACAUUUAGUUUCCAAGUUUAUUCUGAAGUAGUACAAUCUCCAAUUGAAGUAAUUUAUUAAGCUAGCUCCAAGCAGUACAUGAACAAGAAACUUCAAUUCUUUUGCACCCUCCAUCAGCCUUAAGAAGUACUAUCUCCAACUUUAAUUUGUCUAGCUACAAAAACUUAUUCUGAAGUGAUGCUCAUGUUGCUUCCUAUUGCGAGCACUCGUUUCAUGUGCAGAUUGCAGUCACAAUGACAAGCUGUCCGACCAUGUCUGCAAGGCCAAAGCAGAAGAGUUGAAGGAGAUCUUAUGGUAAGAAGAAAAAUAAAUGCUACAAUCCCUCUUUUGGUUUGUAUCGUUCAGUUGUACUUUGACUCCAUGUUUUCUUCAAUUCCUGUGAUGAUAGGAUCAAGGUAAGUAUGGAGAGAGAAAGGUUGAAGACGUGCAAUGGAAAAUUGUUAUUAGACUUGCUUAAGAAUUGCCUUUUUGUUAUUUGAUUACUUGGCAUGCUUAAACCCAGUAACUCGAUUCUCUCUAAACGCUCCUAAGCCUUUGUGAGGUGUUACUUGAGAUCUUCUAUCUUAACCAAGAAUUGAAGAAAGCAUGAGACACAACCAAGAAUUUAUUUUACACCACACCUUUGCUGUCAUUUAUUUUGCUCGGUGGGCCUGCCAGACAUCAAGACUAUUUAUAUGUUCUGUAGUUAUUUCAAGAGUUUUUUGUAGGAGUUUGAAUGGCAUAGUCUCCCUAUUUGUGUGUGCGUGUGUGCGCGCGCGCACGUGUGUGUUCGUCGCUGCGCAUCUUUGCCGUUCCAGCUGCUCUGUUUCACUCUAAACACCAUGAAGUUUAUUUCAGGCUAGAAUAUGUGUUGUCAUUCUUUUUUUUAAUGAGUUUCUUGAGUUGAUCUAACCUGAACCUUGAGAGUUCUAACUUGACCAUGCAGAGUUAGCAAACUGAAAGAUUGUGAGAAGAUGUAAGUUGGCAUCUUCGAGUUGCUUCCAGUGUCUAAAUUUCAAUGUCAGUUCUAGAGUUUUUCGAGCACGCAGAUUUUCUAUUUGUUUAGGCUACGGUUCCAGCAAUUUAUAGCAGUGGUUUCAUUUUUGUUGUGUUUUCCAGAGGCUAGAACUUUGAUGGAUAGUUGUUAGUGUGAUUCUAUGGAUACAGAGCACAGGUUCAAUUUAAAGGAGGCACGAGUUAGUGGAAGCCAUGUCGAAAAAAAUUUGAGCCUACGAUAAUUCAUGAAAUUUUAUUAUGAAGCACUUAUUUGAAACAUAAUCUGCUUGAUUGCCCCCUAUAUAGUUUGAUUUAAGCUAUGAAUCCAUACUGAUACUGAAAUAUGAAUGCCCUCUUUGGCUGAUAAGGUUAUGUUUUAUGCAGA